rnacentral:rRNA from 1 species
GGUGAACGCUGGCGGCGUGCCUAAUACAUGCAAGUCGAGCGAACGGACGAGAAGCUUGCUUCUCUGAUGUUAGCGGCGGACGGGUGAGUAACACGUGGAUAACCUACCUAUAAGACUGGGAUAACUUCGGGAAACCGGAGCUAAUACCGGAUAAUAUUUUGAACCGCAUGGUUCAAAAGUGAAAGACGGUCUUGCUGUCACUUAUAGAUGGAUCCGCGCUGCAUUAGCUAGUUGGUAAGGUAACGGCUUACCAAGGCAACGAUGCAUAGCCGACCUGAGAGGGUGAUAGGCCACACUGGAACUGAGACGCGGACCAGACUCCUACGAGAGGCAGCAGUAGGGAAUCUUCCGCAGUGGGCGAAAGCCUGACGGAGCAACGCCGCGUGAGUGAUGAAGGUCUUCGGAUCGUGAAACUCUGUUAUUAGGGAAGAACAUAUGUGUAAGUAACUGUGCACAUCUUGACGGUACCUAAUCAGAAAGCCACGGCUAACUACGUG